AGUGGCGGACGGGUGAGUAACACGUGGGAACGUGCCCUUUGGUUCGGAACAACUCAGGGAAACUUGAGCUAAUACCGAAUGUGCCCUUCGGGGGAAAGAUUUAUCGCCAUUGGAGCGGCCCGCGUCUGAUUAGCUUGUUGGUGAGGUAAAGGCUCACCAAGGCUACGAUCAGUAGCUGGUCUGAGAGGAUGAUCAGCCACAYUGGGACUGAGACACGGCCCACACUCCUACGGGAGGCAGCAGUGGGGAAUCUUGCGCAAUGGGCGAAAGCCUGACGCAGCCAUGCCGCGUGAAUGAUGAAGGUCUUAGGAUUGUAAAAUUCUUU
rnacentral:rRNA from 1 species